UAUUUUUCAUAAAAUGUUUAAUUUAACAGUGACCUAGUUUUACAACAGCUUUCAGUGUCUUGGCUUUUCUUAUCUCCUGUGUCUUAGCCUACAUCAUUAGAACAGCAGAGCAAUAGGCAUUACAGACUUUGUUAAAGCAAAUUAAAUAAGACCUUAGCUGGGGGAUUAAUUCUUCUCUCCUAUUUUGUUUCAGGCAGUCAUUAUGUUACAGUUUCUUUGCAGUUUUAAAGAGGUUUUAGCACAUCUUUUAUUGCACCUAUUAUAGGUUUGGGGUUUUUUUUUAAUGUCAGCUCAAAGCCCUUUCCUUAUUUCAUGGUACAUUUUUGAGUAUCAACCUGUAGCAGCAGUCUUGAAUUCGUCAGCCUUUUCACAGAAGGAUCCUUUGUUUUGUAAACAUUCAAUAACUGUUUGGAACUGAUGGCUAGCUUUACUAGCCAAUUUGGAAGUGUACAGGCAGUACAGACUCAUGCCAGCUUUCAGCAGGAGUAAGUUGUGGGGUGCUGUUAAUUUUACUUACCUUACAUCACCUUCCAGAAGAAAAAAGUUAUUCUGCAUUUUGUCAUUGUGACCAAUAAAUGGCAGGUAAAGUGAUGUUUGCUGUCUCUUUUGCCAUGUGUUACAUACGGUGCUCUCAGAUACUGUUUGAUGGUACCCCUCUGUGAUUCCUUGCUUGUCUUUAUGGAAGUAUGCUUUAAAAACUCCUUGUACUCUACUGUGUGUGCUGUGUUCCAUAAGGAUUCAGCAGAAAAAGGGAGCAAUUAGACAAAUGAUUUCAAAUUUCAACCAUGCAACACCAAAACACAUCAGCAUUGCUGUGCUGAGUCCUUCGUGUGUACCCUUUAAGGAAGGAAACAGCAUAGGAGAUGAUGCCACAUACGCCAGGUUUAUAUGAGUGUGAGUGCUUUCCCUAUAGGGAGAAUUGUCCUAUGGGGAUCUCAGCCCACAGAGGUUUCCAUUGAUCCACAUUAACGUGUGUUGCAGAAAUUGAACAUGUCAUACUGAAAAAUGCAGGUAAUGUACACUGACAGUGUCUGAGCCAUGACUUAAACAGCAUCAAGCCAAAAUGUAUACGUCUACACCUACAAGGAUUAUGCAAGCUAAAAGAACAAAGACGACUCAAUAGGAACCAUUCAGAGCCAGUGUGUGCUGGCCUUGUUGAGCUUCACUUAAUUCCUCCCUUUGUGCAAAGGGAUUUCAGCUGUCUUUGCAAACGUUAAAUUUGUGCCUGCUCUAACACUUCUUAAAUUUUGCGUGACUUCUAACAAACUUCCCAGUGACUUGUUAUGACUGGGGGGGAAAAAAGCCUUGGUGAUGAAUUUCAGGCAUGGAAGAACUUGUGCCUUGAAUCUAGAAAAAUCACAAACCCAAAAGUAUUGAGAAUAUUUUUUUUCUAUAAAGCUAAAAACAUCAGAAGAGCAUUAGUAGCAGUCCCUCUGUUCAUUUUUGUCAAUGAAGAACACUGUGGGAAAGCAAAAUUCAGAGCCUUUGUAAAUUCACCUGGGAAAUUCCAGGAGAGCCUCUUUGCUGGAAGUGUUGAAAAGAGAUUUGUGUAAGAAGCUCUGCCUCACCUUGUCUUACCUAGAGUCCCAAAAUGGACUAAGAGCAAUACAACUAAUCAGAAGAGGAAAGACUCAAUUUCCUCAAUGUCCAGGUUCUUGCUCAACCAUAGCAGAAGCAUCCUUUUCUAUUCUGCAUUGGCAAUCUCAUCUGAACAAGUCAGAGCACUGGCGGAGUGAGGAGGUAAGCACAGUCUCAUACUUUCCUGUGCUAUGGACAGGUCUAUAGAGGGGAUUUUAGGUUUUUCUAUAACAACUAGAAAUAUGCUAAGAUCUCUCUAUGUCUUCUUUCAGUUCAUCAGGAGAUCAGUUUCUUGAUAUCUAACAAUGUUUAUUCUUUUCUGUCUUUUAGUCAAGAAUGGCCUUCUGCCUGGACUCCAUCCAUCUGAUCUGAACUUGUAAAAUUUUUCUGAACAUGGUAGAGUCUCCACUUCUGCCAUGUCAGGUGUCCAAAUAUUAUGAGAACUCAUGGUACUAAGUGGCAGAAAUAUGUGAAUUCCCAUAGAAUUCGGGUUUUCUCCAGCUGGUCUUUAUCUGAUGGUCUGGAAAAGGUGCAGAUGGAGUACUUAUUUUGACUAAAUUGUAACAUCCUUGACUUCUUUCUUCUGUGAUAUUGCAAAAGUUUCCUUUGGAUAUUUUUUCUACUUAAAGUAGGUUUUAUGAUGAUUAAUUACAUAAGCUGUGAUGGGAACUGCUGCGCAGUGGGAAUGAGGAGCCUGAAGUGUGGAGGAUGGCAUGAAAUGUAUUUAAAAAACCCCUUAAAUUCAGCAAAAUACAGUAUGUGCCUUUCAUAGCCCUGAUCAUACUGUUUGUAUGCUGUAUCUCUCUCUCACCACUAUUUAUCUGUGCCUUAUUAAAAUAUGCAUUUUUCGCAGCAGAAACUAUAUCAUCUUCUGCUUUCGAAAAAGCAUUUACCAUAUGGAAGAUGCAAACAUCACCAUAAACCAUGUUUCUUUUCUGCACUUGGAUGAUUUAUAGUACCCACCAACACAGUUCAAGUAUUGAAAUGCAUGUCUAUGUGUUUGGGUAUCUAUUCUAUAUAUAUAUUCACAUCGUGUGCACAUACAUUUUUAUAUAUAAAAUCUUUUCUCUAAAAAAUGUGCAGGGUGUUGAUGAUUUAUCUAAAUCACAUGGUACCACUUCUCCCUCUUUGGCUAAACAUCACAGUGCAUGUUCUGGUUUUGGCAGGGAAGAUUAACAUUUGGCAUUUGCUUUUGGUGAAUACUCAGUUACUUAAUUUUGUUUCUUUUUUUUCCCCUCCCUAUUAACAGCAGUUAAGCCUGAGCAGUCAAACAUUUCUACUAUUUGAAUAAGAAAAGUCCUUAAAAUUCACUUACAAAUUCACGUGACAGUUAAUGUAUUACUUUUCAGUUAUUGUUCCAGCUUGUCUGUUGCUGAGAAAGUACUGCAUAGGGAGGAGAUCUGGCUGAGUGGGGGUCAGUUGUGCAGCACUCACUAAAACGAGUGGGAGGUGGGAGGCAGAAGGACUCAAAAAACAGAUACUAGCCUAGGAAACCUGAUUUUUCCAAGCUCUCACUAGGGACGGUGGGAAAAGACACUUGGAGAUUCAAAGCUGGAGCAUAACCUCAGAUGCUCAGAGCUGUGACAGAAAGAAUCUUACAUUCUCUCUGCUGAGCACAGGAAGCCCAUAAGAGGGUUUGCCUCUCAGGAGUGCAGUCAUCCUUUCCUAGGUUUACGAAUCCCCCUUCCCUAAAAAGCCAGGAAUCCAGAUGCCAGUUUUGCAAAUCUCAGCAGUGUGAAAUAUGAGAUGGAUCCCAGGGCUCAGUUCUGGUCUUAUCUUCCUCCUCUCCAGCCAGAACAAUGCCAUUGGUAGCUUUCAUCUUGAAACACACUCCUUGCUUCAGUAUUCAGCCUGCCAGCCUGUGACAAGAGAGACUGAUACAGCCCAAUUCAAUUUCAAACUGUUCUGCUCUCUUAAACUAGAAUGUGAGAACAAAACAUGUGGACAAUGCAUAAUUCAAAAUCAUGCAUAGGGCCUAUUUAAAAAAACCCCAUGAGUUUAAUUAUUUUUUUUCCCUAAUUGUCUAAGAAAAUGCUUUAAAUCUGCAUCACCGUUAACAACUCCACAAAGCUUUAAAAGGUGUAAUACAUAUCAUGUCAGGAUCUCAAAGAGCAUAUAUGUGUGUGUGUGUAUAUUUAUGUGUAUGUAUGUGUAUAUAUAUAUAUAUAUAUGCUAGUAUAUAAAUGCUAAUGAAACAGCGAGUUCUCAAAUCUACUUGCAGGUAAUUAACUACUGCAGGCAUGGUUGAAAAUCUGCCAUCUUCAACUGCUUGGGCUGAAAUGUUUCACUCUAUGGAUCAGCACAAGGCUGGAUUCUAAUAUUAUUUUUUCCUUUUUUUUAAUGUUUCAGCAAAAUCGGUUUAACUGGCUCCAAGAAGAUUUGAUGAAAAAAGUCUUCUCCCCAUCUUAAAUAUAUUCUUAUAACUGAAUAUGCCAAUGUUUUGAGUCUAUUGGUAAAAAUGUAUCACAGAGAUGGGCCUUGGCGACAAGGAUAUGCUAUUCUGUGAAAAUCUGCCCAAAUUUUGACAAGUUACAAAUUCUGAAAUUUUCAACUUCUUCCUGCUUGCAUUCUUAGGAGAUUGAAUGCUAAAUUCCCCAGAAGCUGAUUGCAAUGAUGUAGAUUCAGAAUGGUAUAUUUAAUUUUAACUAAAUUUGUAAAUUACUGAGUUGAAGAUGGGAGUCUUAUUAUUAUCAUUAUCAAUUUUUAGCCCAGAAAUGGACUGAAAAUCAACAAGUUUAUGCUACUGCUCAAGGUAGGCUCAGCUAGGCCUAAGUUAACAAGUUCUUGAAGACGUUCAGUGCUUUAGAUGCCACAGACACUCCAGGAAAUUUAUUCUGUUUAGUUAAACAUUACCUGUGCAAGGUUUUAUCCUAGUAUUGAAGUUGAAUCUCUUAUUAAAAUUAGAGCUCAUUAUUUCUUGUUGUCCGUCAUGGAUGUAGAAAGCAGAUUACCACUGUUCUCUUUGGAACAGAAUUUCACAUUUUUUAAGACUUUUACUCAUUUUUCUGUGUCAGAUUAGAUAGUAUCAAUUUUCCUGCCUUACAGCUUGUUUUUUUUCAAUGCCUCACCAUUCUCAUUAUCCUCCUCUGGGCCAUCUCCAGUUGUUUCAUAUUUUUGUUGUGUCCACAGUUGUACACACCACUCUUGCUGAUGCCUCACCAGUGCUGAGCAGAGCACUCUGCACCUGCACAGACAGACCAGGGUGGUGUUCCCCUUUUUUGCAUUAUUUUCUCCUGUUCAAUUUUUGAUCUGGGAAAUCUGCUAAAUAUUUUCCCACAGAAUUGACGUGAAAAUAGUUCCUUGCUGUCCUGUGUUUCUGCAGUUUCUUAUUCCUGUCUAAAUGUAGCUCUUAUUCAUAUUGAAUGCUAUGCACAUUUUUCAGAUCAUACCUGCAGUUUAUCAAGAUCACUGAAUAUUAAUCAUCUCUUCUAAAAUCUUUGCAGUCUCAUGCUGCUUGAAAUUAUCUGCAAAUUUAAUGAUUCUUUUUGUGUCAUCAUCCAACUCAUUAAUGAAUGCUACCAGACUUAGAGCAAUCCUUUGUGGAACUUCAUGAAACUCAUCCUUACCUUUUGACAAUGUAAUAUCUGUAACUGCUGUUUGAGCAUGGUCUGCUAAUACAACUCAGCACUAUAUUUUCAGAACAAAUAGUUACAAGUUCAAAAUUUACCUUCUGCAAAACUUUUGUUUAAAACUCAUCCUUUCUUUCUUUUUUUCCCUUCCUUUUUGCCAGGAAAUUAUUUUAUUAAAAUAUUAACAGACUUCAAAGGAGAUUGAGCAGGGGCAAAGCAAAUUUCAUGUUUCAUUCAAAUACAUAAUUGUGGGAAAUAUCUUGAGGUGCACUUCUAUUAGUAUUCACAGAAGAUAGUCUCUUUGUUAGAUACUGCCUAUCUCUCAUGGUCCUCCCUCCCAAAAAGUUUUCUCAGAUUUAGCUCAGCAGCUAAUGGCAAUAACAUGCAGGAAAACAUAAGUAUUGAAAGAUGGAGAAAGAAAGUCCUUAGUAUUCACUGGACCACCUCACUCUGAGUAUAAUCUUUGUAUUUGCAGUGAGUUAGAGAUCUUAUGCUACAGUUUUGCUCCUUUGAACUGGAUGUUGUGCAAAGGAAUAAUAUUCUCCAUGACACAGAGAACAUAGAAACAGCAGAGCAUAUUUAGAAAAGGCUCACAGAUAGCUCAUGUGGUUGUUAGCUAUAAUUUACUCACACAAGCUAAAAAAACAGAGUUCUUUUCACUCUGUUGUAAUCAGCUCCUCAUCCUUUCAGAAUACAAAGAAACAUUUCUCUCUUUCUAGAUGCUCAACUAUUCAGUUUUUGGAAUGAUCAAGAAAAAACAAAAAGUAUUCCCAGUGUCUCUAUCUCUACAGGCUAAGUCUUCCUUGCUUCUCCAUGUCUGAUACACUAACUUACCAAACUGAAUUGUUCUAAGUACAGUACCAAGAAUCAAAGGUGUUGCAACUACCUUUGGAGAGUUAGCCUAGCUGUGAGCUCAUGUCACCUUGAAAUUACAGCUGUGCUUCUGUCCUUUAUUAAAUGUCAUGCUUUUGUUUUGCUUUGUAGCCCUGAAAGCUCUCAGUGAAGAUGAAACUUCUACUGUCCUGUCCACAUCUGCAAGGAGCUGUAUAUUCACUCAGUACUGCCCCUGUGGAUGUAGCUCUCAACGGUCAGUCCAACUCACCAGUCCAUCAGAGCAAGGAUCACAAGCUCAGUGUACACCUUAUCUAACACAGGCACCUGCUGCCAAAAUACUCCCUCCUCACCCAAGUCCUGGCCACACAUUCCCUGCGCUUCCAUCAGAUCAAUCUAGUGGCCAAGCAGCUACAGGACACGUCAAUUUGGCUGGCAGAUCUGAUGGAAAACAAAGGUAACAAACGAAGAUGACUGCAGCUGGAACAGGGGGGCAAGGCUGCCUUUGAAAAAGGCUACUAGGUUUCGGGUCAUUUAGAUGCAACUCAAACUGUUACCUCUGCCUUCUCUCUAUAUAUCUAUCUCCUUCCAACCCCCGGCCUCCAUGCAUAAACCCAUGGCCACAUGUUUUAAGCCAUCUUUUUUUUUUUAAAUUAUUUUCAGCAGUUUUCAUUUUUAAUCUACAGUUUAAAAUCCUAUGCUCCAUGACAAAAAUCAGCCUUGGCUCUACCCUGUCUUCCCCAGCAGUGUGUCUUUUUAAAGACAGAGGCACUUGCUUGGUCUUUGCUAGACCGGUAUAUAUGUUAAUUUUCCAGUCAAUUUCACAGGAAUUUAGAUUAUCAAAAAUGAAUUUCAAACAGAGGUAAAAAUACUCUGCUCAUUCUCCAGCUCAGCCUUGUGGACAAGGACAAUGUAAUCUUAAGAGAAUGGUGACCCAGCUAGUAGAACUGUUCUCCCACACAAAGUGACUGAUUCACCUCAUGACCUCUGCUGGGCAUGAAGGUGGCUGAUGUUGUCUUGUUUAGCUGCUUCUACAGAAAGUUCAGGUAAAAGGGGAUCCCUGAACACUUUUGUUAUUUGAUGUCUGUAUGAAGUGCCCAGUUUUUCACCCAACUCUCAUAUUCUCAUAUUGCCACAACUGUGGCAUUCAUGUCCUGUAGGUUAUUUCUUUCAUUGAGUCCACAUGGAAUUUUGCACUUCUCUGAAAACAAAUGGGAAGAUUUGCAUCAUGUUUACAGGAAAGCUGCUCACUCUCCUUCUAAUGGGGAAAGAAAACAGCAUGUGUCUCGAGUCUGGCACCAAAAAUGCUUACACAUUGAUUUUCUUUACUGUCCAGAAAUUAUAACAACAUUCCUAAACACAUAUUUGGGUCUAGCUUUGCAGAAUUCAUGUUCCAAAUUCAGAAUACAUAGUUCAUAUAUGAACUAUGGCUCACAGUUCAUAUAUGUAGAGUAUAUAAAUACAGUAAAUACAUAAUACAUACAGUUCAUAAGCACAGAAUUCAUAGUUCCUAUUCCCCCCACCAAAGUACUACCUUCUGUAUGCAGCUGUACAGAACAAUCCUGAAGAGGCCGUGGCAAGGAGGCUGGAACUAGAGAUUCCCGUUAACACCUGGAUACUGAAUGCCCUCCCUUUUUGAGAGAGUCCAUUCCCUUCAGGAAUUGCUGCCGUUCCCUCUGGGAGCUUCAGUUGGUACAAAGUUGCCAAUAAAUAUUGUGCUGGAACAAAUGAUGCAUCCGUGAA